rnacentral:rRNA from 1 species
AUUGAACGCUGGCGGCAUGCUUUACACAUGCAAGUCGAACGGUAACAGGGUGCUUGCACCGCUGACGAGUGGCGAACGGGUGAGUAAUGCGUCGGAACGUGCCGAGUAGUGGGGGAUAACGCAGCGAAAGUUGUGCUAAUACCGCAUACGUACUGAGGUAGAAAGUGGGGGACCUUCGGGCCUCACGCUAUUCGAGCGGCCGACGUCUGAUUAGCUAGUAGGUGAGGUAAAGGCUCACCUAGGCGACGAUCAGUAGCGGGUCUGAGAGGAUGCUCAGCCACACUGGAACUGAGGCACGGUCCAGACUCCUACGGGAGGCAGCGGUGGGGAAUAUUGGACAAUGGGCGCAAGCCUGAUCCAGCCAUACCGCGUGGGUGAAGAAGGCCUUCGGGUUGUAAAGCCCUUUUGUUGGGAAAGGAAUCCAUCUGGUUAAUACCCGGGUGGGAUGACGGUACCCAAAGAAUAAGCACCGGCUAACUUCGUGCCAGCCGCCGCCGUAA